AACACACAACACAACACAAUUGCUUGCAUUUUGCAAGUAAUACCACAUAGUCAUGGCCGCCUUUCGUGAGAGCUCCGUGGUGCUCCUUGUACUCUUUCUAUUGCUAGUGCUCUCCUCCACAACAUGUUCCGCGCGCCACAUGCCUGGCGACCCAUUGCCGGUCAUCCCCUCUCCACCGCCCCAUGACGACAUGCCUGGCGAUCCUUUGCCGGUCAUCCCCUCUCCACCGCCCCAUGACCAUAUGCCUGGUGACCCACCUUCGGUCAUUCCCUCUCCACCGCCCCAUAAGUCCGAUGACCACAUGCCUCGCAAGGUCAUUCCUUCCACUUCGUCUUACAUGUCAGACGGCCUAGUGCCAGGUGUCCCUCCCUCGCUGCCAAACCUCCCUCUACCCCCGCUUCCAAAGUUGCCUCUUCCCCCGCUACCUAACCUUCCUGUGCCUCCGCUUCCAAAUCUCCCUCUGCCCCCGCUACCAAACCUCCCUCUUCCCCCGCUACCAGACCUCCCUGUCCCCCCGCUACCAGACCUUCCUCUUCCCCCGCUACCAAACCUCCCUCUACCACCGCUUCCACAGAUUCCUCUACCUCCUCUUCCAAACCUUCCUCUGCCCCCGCUGCCGAUCAUCCCUUCCCCGCCUCCCCACAUGUCAUCUCCAUUAGUGGUGGAGGCGAGGGAAGGACUCAUGGAGGUGCCGAGGCCGGUUCCUUUUGGACCAAACCCCAUACAACAUGAUCAUCCCGCCCCAGCACCGCAGCCGCAUCCCCACCAACAUCAUAGGCGCCAUGCCCCGUCACCGGGUCCAUCUCAGGCUUGAUGGUUGCCCCACUGGCGACACAUACACCUUUUACAUUUAGUUACACCGGAAUCACUAGCGGAAUAAAGGAUGGAUUAUUACAUAUAGUCAAACAGGUGGCAUGUAACAUGGAUUGCUAGUUAUCUGUGAUGCAUUGUAUUGAAUUCCAUUAUAUUCCACCAUCACUGGACAAUAAAGUGAUAACUUAACAUGCAAGGUGCUUUUACUAUACCCCUCACUAUCCUAGAGUACAACACCAUUCUAGACGUCAGUACGACCUGAGGUGUGGGACGAGAGGAGGAUUGAUGUGAUAUAAAUAUGCCAUUGAGAGGUAAA
rnacentral:lncRNA from 1 species